AAGUCGUAACAAGGUAACCGUAGGUGAACCUGCGGUUGGAUCAUUAAAAAUAACAUGUUGCCACUCAUUGUCGGGGAAAACAGCAAAAAGGCACCCGGUAAAACAAUGGGAAUUGGCCCCACAUCUUGUGAACUGUACCGUCUUUGGUGGUGGGGUGGGCAUUGCUGUAUGCUUUGUCUCAUCUGUCAGCUUGGAUCGCAAGGUCCAGGCCGUGGACAAGCCACCACAUGUAUUCAAACAUCCUUUUUUUCUUUUGUCUGACAUUUCAACUUGUAUUAAUAUACAAACAACUUUUGGCAACGGAUCUCUUGGUUCUC
rnacentral:misc_RNA from 1 species